rnacentral:rRNA from 1 species
CCGAAGCGAAACGAUGAUAGCUUGCUAUCAGGCGUCGAGCGGCGGACGGGUGAGUAAUACUUAGGAAUCUGCCCAGUAGUGGGGGAUAGCUCGGGGAAACUCGAAUUAAUACCGCAUACACCCUACGGGAAAAAGGGGGCGCUUGCGCUCUCGCUAUUGGAUGAGCCUAAGUCGGAUUAGCUAGUUGGUGGGGUAAAGGCCUACCAAGGCGACAAUCUGUAGCUGGUCUGAGAGGAUGAUCAGCCACACCGGGACUGAAACACGGCCCGGACUCCUACGGGAGGCAGCAGUGGGGAAUAUUGGACAAUGGGGGGAACCCUGAUCCACCCAUGCCGCGUGUGUGAAGAAGGCCUUUUGGUUGUAAAGCACUUUAAGCAGUGAAAAAGACUCUAUGGUUAAUACCCAUAGACGAUGACAUUAGCUGCAAAAUAAGCACCGGCUAACUCUGUGCCAGCAGCCGCGGUAAUACAGAGGGUGCAAGCGUUAAUCGGAAUUACUGGGCGUAAAGCGAGCGUAGGUGGCUUAAUAAGUCAGAUGUGAAAUCCCCGGGCUUAACCUGGGAACUGCAUCUGAUACUGUUAGGCUAGAGUAGGUGAGAGGGAGGUAGAAUUUCAGGUGUAGCGGUGAAAUGCGUAGAGAUCUGAAGGAAUACCGAUGGCGAAGGCCGCCUCCUGGCAUCAUACUGACACUGAGGUUCAAAGCGUGGGUAGCAACGGGAUUAGAUACCCUGGUAGUCCACGCCGUAACGAUGUCUACUAGUCGUUGGGGAACUUGAUUCUUAGUGACCCUCUACGCAAUAUUAGACCGCCUGGGGAAUACGCCCACAGGUUAUACUCAAUGAAUUGACGGGGCCCGCACAGCGGGGAACAUGUGUUUUAUUCGAUGCAAGCAAAAACCUUACUGGUCUUGAUUUUCUAAAUCCUGCAAAAUGCGGAAUGCCUUCGGGAUUAAAAUAGGGGCUGCAGGGUGUCUUCGUCCUGUCUGGAAUAUUGGUUAACUCC